UACAGAGGUCUCAAGCGUUGUUCGGAUUCAUUGGGCGUAAAGGGUGCGUAGGCGGCGCCGUAAGUCGGAUGUGAAAUCUCAGGGCUCAACCCUGAAACUGCAUUCGAUACUGCGGUGCUCGAGGACUCGAGAGGAGAUUGGAAUUCACGGUGUAGCAGUGAAAUGCGUAGAUAUCGUGAGGAACACCUGUGGCGAAGGCGGCUACCUGGACAAUUGCUGACGCUCAGGCACGAAAGCGUGGGGAGCAAAAGGG
rnacentral:rRNA from 1 species